GCAGUGAUAAGCACGGGAGGAAAUACUGUAUCAAAAAGGAGCUCACACAACCGAAAGCUUGUGCAAAUUAUUUUUAAUGAUUCUUCUCUGACUGCCCAAUGGGAUGAAGUUUCCAGUGUGAUGUCAUUGGAAACAUUGCUCCUCAGAGCAGUGAAAUUAGCCCGAAAGAAGAGGAACAUGGAGCCUCACUUUCCAAUCAGGAGCCUUGUUCACAACAGCCACAGGGAAACAAGGCAAAGACACUUAGAUAUAUGAUCAAAAUAUGCUAUGGAAAGAGGAUGGAAUAUUACUCAGUCUUUAAAAGCAAGUACAUUCUGAAACAGCCUACAGCAUGGACCAUGCCAAGGGAAGUAAGCCAGACAGAAAAGAGCAGAUGCUGUGUGUCUUAGUUGCUCUCCUGUUGCUUUGAUGAGACUCCACGACCAAGGCAACUUAUAGAAGACAGAGUUUAUUGGGGUGUUCCAGCUCCCGAGGGAUGAGAGUUCAUCAUCGCCUUGGCAGAGACCAUGGUGGCCAGCAGGACAUCUUGAGACAUAAACAUGAGGCAGAGAGAACAAGACACUGGGAAUGGUGUGGGUUUUUUGAAACCUCAAAGCCUGUCUCCCAAAGGCAUACCUCCUCCAACAAAGCUACGCCCUCCCAAUCCUUCUCAAACAGUUCCACCAAGUGGAGACCAAGUAUUCAAAUAUACUAGCCACUCUAAUUGAGACUUGCCAUGCUCUAUGAGCACUGUACACGAACUACCUAGAGAAGUGAAGCUUAAGAGACCAACAGUAGAAAAGUAACUGCUGGGACCGGUGGGAAAAGAAUGAAGAGAAAUUGUCUGGUGGAGACAGAAUAUCAAAUUGGGAAGAACAGAGAAUUCUGGAGGCAGAUGGUGGUGACUGCUACAGGAGGACAUGACGGCCCCCUCUGCCACUGACCUUGACAAUAGCCGUGACAUCAAAAGCCAUUGUGUAAAUUGUACUACACUUUAGCAGUAUUUUUUUUCUUAAAAAGAUUUAUUUUAUUUUAUGAGCACACUGUAGCUGUCUUCAGACACACCAGAAGAGGACAUCCGACUCCAUUACAGAUGGUUGUGAGCCACCAUGUGGUUUCUGGGAAUUGAACUCAGGACCUCUGGAAGAACAGUCACUGCUCUUAACUGUUGAGCUAUCUCUCCAGCCCUGUUUUUUUUUUUUAAAGGUUAACUCAAGGCUAUCGAAACUGUCAUCAUAUGAGGCUAGUAAGCAAAAGACAAAGAGCUAGUGACUGCAUAGCAAAUACCACCAGAGUCCUUGAGGCAUCUGUGUUCUGAGAGGGUAGGGAAGUGGAUAAGAGAGGAUGUGAGGGGUUUUCCUGAAUGAUUUGGUGGCAAAGGGAGGAAGCGCUCAUUUACUUGGGACCUCGGGAGGUAUUCAGCCAGUAGAGUGUUUUCCUGUGUGACUGACAACAGUCUGUGCAUUUCUGGGAACUCCUUCUGAGGAUGAUUUGACGUAUGGAAGAAGCCUUAACUGAGUCAAUUCCUGUGUAGAAGUUUAAUCCGAGAUCUUCCUUGCAACCUCAAGCUCCCAGAAAUAAGACUCAGACUCAAAAUAUAUAUACAAAUACCUUGGCCACAUAGUGAGGCUCUUCUCUAACCAGAUCAUAACUUAAAUUAUCUCAUUUAUUUGAAUCUACAUUCUGCCAUGUGGCUGAUUACCUAUGCUCAGGUAUCAUGCACCUGUCUACUCAUUUCUUGCGGAGCAAAUCUUUUAACAUCUGGCUCUAUCCCAGAAUCCUUUCUGCCUCCCAGAUAUGCCAUCUUCCAUUUCCUGCCUAAGCCAUUAGUCACAGGCUUUUUAAGUGGCAGGUGACACAUCCAUACAAUACACAAGACAUUCUCUCUACAGUCCUGAGUGAAGGUGGUGUUGACAUGUAGACAGCCAUGUUGAAUAUCACAAUGCUUCAUCCCCUUGGGAAAUGGUAAAGCCUUCCAUCCUGAUCCAAGUGUGAAUGUUGGCAGUGCAGAAAUGUCCACUGCAGCUUUCUCCCCUUGGAUGUUUUGUAGCAUGAAGACUGGCCCCUUGGUUCAGCUGUUUACCAUAAGCCCAGCCUCUGUGAUUCAAUUCUAUUUGUAAGUAAAAGCCCCACCUCCAUCUUCAACUAUAUAUAAUAAAUGUGCAGAGCCUCUUGGAUGCUGCAACUUCUCCAUCAGAAAACCCAGGCUGCCUGAUCCUACCCUUUUUUCCUGAUGUAUGUUUAUCUUUG
rnacentral:lncRNA from 1 species